rnacentral:rRNA from 1 species
UACGGGGGGGGGCAAGCGUUGUUCGGAAUUACUGGGCGUAAAGGGCUCGUAGGCGGCCAACUAAGUCGGACGUGAAAUCCCCAGGCUCAACCUGGGAACUGCGUCCGAUACUGGAUGGCUUGAAUCCGGGAGAGGGAUGCAGAAUUCCAGGUGUAGCGGUGAAAUGCGUAGAUAUCAGGAAGAACACCCGUGGCGAAGGCGGCUCUCUGGGACGGUACUGACGCUGAGACGCGAAAGCGUGGGGAGCGAACAGG